rnacentral:rRNA from 1 species
UACGGAGGAUCCAAGCGUUAUCCGGAUUUAUUGGGUUUAAAGGGUGCGUAGGCGGCUUAUUAAGUCAGGGGUGAAAGGCGGUAGCUUAACUAUCGGAGUGCCCUUGAUACUGAUGAGCUUGAAUGCAGAUGAGGUAGGCGGAAUUGACGGUGUAGCGGUGAAAUGCAUAGAUAUCGUCAAGAACACCGAUAGCGAAGGCAGCUUACUGGGCUGUAACUGACGCUGAUGCACGAAAGUGUGGGGAUCAAACAGG